rnacentral:rRNA from 1 species
GACAGCAGCAGCCGCGGGAAUACGAAGGGUGCAAGCGUUAAUCGGAAUUACUGGGCGUAAAGCGUGCGUAGGCGGUUUGUUAAGUCUGUUGUGAAAUCCCCGGGCUCAACCUGGGAAUGGCAAUGGAUACUGGCAAGCUAGAGUGUGGUAGAGGAUAGUGGAAUUUCCGGUGUAGCAGUGAAAUGCGUAGAGAUCGGAAGGAACAUCUGUGGCGAAGGCGACUAUCUGGGCCAACACUGACACUGAGGCACGAAAGCGUGGGGAGCAAACAGGAUUAGAUACCCCCGUAGUCCCUGUCUCUUAUAC